rnacentral:rRNA from 1 species
GAGUUUGAUCCUGGCUCAGAACGAACGCUGGCGGCGUGCUUAACACAUGCAAGUCGAACGCGAAAGUUUUCUUCGGAAGAUGAGUAGAGUGGCGCACGGGUGAGUAACGCGUAAAUAAUCUACCCUUGCAUCUGGGAUAACCCACCGAAAGGUUGGCUAAUACCGGAUACGUUCUUUUUAUUGCGAGAUAGAAAGAAGAAAGGUGGCCUCUGAUAUAAGCUACUGUGCAGGGAGGAGUUUGCGUACCAUUAGCUAGUUGGUAGGGUAAUGGCCUACCAAGGCAUCGAUGGUUAGCGGGUCUGAGAGGAUGAUCCGCCACACUGGAACUGGAACACGGACCAGACUCCUACGGGAGGCAGCAGUGAGGAAUAUUGCGCAAUGGGGGCAACCCUGACGCAGCGACGCCGCGUGGAUGAUGAAGGCCUUCGGGUCGUAAAAUCCUGUCAGAUGGAAAGAAAUGCUAUAUGAAUAAUACGUGUAUAGUUUGACGGUACCAUCAAAGGAAGCACCGGCUAACUCCGUGCCAGCAGCCGCGGUAAUACGGAGGGUGCAAGCGUUGUUCGGAAUUACUGGGCGUAAAGCGCGCGUAGGUGGUCUGUUAUGUCAGAUGUGAAAGUCCACGGCUCAACCGUGGAAGUGCAUUUGAAACUGGCAGACUUGAGUACUGGAGGGGGUAGUGGAAUUCCCGGUGUAGAGGUGAAAUUCGUAGAUAUCGGGAGGAAUACCGGUGGCGAAGGCGACUACCUGGCCAGAUACUGACACUGAGGUGCGAAAGCGU